rnacentral:rRNA from 1 species
CCCUUAGAUGUUCUGGGCGGCCCGCGCACUACAAUGGCGCUUUCAGCGAGUUCCUAUGUUGAAUUUUCCUUGGUAUUCUUGGAAGCGGCGUCUUGACUUGGGAUAGAUCCUUGUAAUUGUUGGUUUUGAACGAGGAAUUCCUUGUAAUCGCGGUUGAUCAGCUCGCGUUGAAUACGUCCCUGCCCUUUGUACACACCGCCCGUCGCUACUACCGAUUGAACGGUUUAGUGAGGGCCUCGGAUUGGUCUCGGCCCGCUCUUUACCGGGCGGCGCCGUUGGUCGAGAAGACGCUCGAACUUGAUCGUUUAGAGGAAGUAAAAGUCGUAACA